GUGCGAUUGAGAUUUACAGAUUGGAAGGUUUGCACUACCUAUAAGUAAUUCUCUCAUUAACUGGAGUCGUUACUACAACGAAACAGGUUAGAAAUCGCCAGUGGUCUUGUGUCGGAUACCGUCGAACAUUCGCUAUUUAAAUUCAAAAUCUGUCGUCAUAUUCACAAUGGCAAACGCACCUCAGCCAGAAGGAGCCCGUCCGUAUAUUUCUAAAAGUCCUUGCUACGUAUCAAUCGUCCCAACGAAACAUACAUAACAGAGUAUAGGAAGGAUGCAUAACACUACGCUGCGUGGUGGACGGACCGUCACCGACUUUACUAUGCUGCCUUCACAGUUACGGUUGCUUUUGUAUUGAUGAGACAUCCUGUGACAUUAGAGUUAGCUUUACUCUAAGUACGGCUAUCAUCCUCGGGCCUCCAAAAGAGGAUCCCAGGGCAUCCACUGGUUUUUCGUAAGGGUCCGCCAUCACCAAAUAAAUUUAAUUCCACCGGCGAAUGUAGGACAACGAAAACUUAUUCUUCGUCAUUCUAUCUUUCAAUUUAAAAAAAAAAUGACGUUUUUAAAUGAAAGUGAAAGUACCUUUAAAAUUAAAAAAAAAGGAUAGUUGUUGAUGAGGAAUAAGUGAUAGUUUUAACUUCUGUACACCACACAAAAAUCAUCAUCUGCGGAAAAGCGGAAGGUUUUUGUGGCAAGAAACUUUCAUUCCCACUGAUAUAUGGGAAAAGAAGAAUUUAGUAAUAACAUCACUAAAUAUCUCUAGAUGGCGUUGCUGCAUACAAUUAUUUUUGAAAAUCGAAAAUCUGAAUCUAUUGGUGUUAAAGAAUAUAAUCCCAAAGGCUCCGUAUCCUAAAUUUUCCAUAAAAUGACGGUUAACCACUU